AUUUAAGCAUAUAAGUAAGCGGAGGAUAAGAAACUAAACGGGAUUUUCUCAGUAAUUGCGAAUGAAGAGGGAGUAGUUCAGUUUGGAAAUUGGGGCCCCUUGGCCUUGAAUUGUAGUUUGGAGAUGCGCCGCCAAUGGAGGCGUAGAUGUAUACCUCUUGGAAGAGAGCAUCAGUGAGGGUGAGAGUCCCGUUUGCCAUCUGCAGCCCGCUGUGCACGGGGCGGUUCCAAAGAGUCACGUUCCUCGGAACUGGAGCGCAAAGUGGGUGGUAACUUUCAUCUCAAGCUGAAUACGGUUUCGAGACCGAUAGUGAACAAGUACCAUGAGGGAAAGGUGAAAAGGACUUUGAGAAGAGAGUUACAAGUGCCUGAAAUCGCUGGAAGCAAAGCGAAGGGAACUAUGGCUGCUUGGUAAAAUCUUCUGCGCGCUCACAGGAUGGCUUGCUGUUUCAACGCAAGUGCGGCAGCUAGUCCCCAUCGAAGCGUGCGCUGUGUUUUUUGCCGCGCAUGUCAACGCCAACUUGCAAAUGAGGAAUGCUUCAGGGACACGACAACCUGCCUCCGGGCAGAUGAACGUGCCUGGCAGGAUUCGUUUGCCCAUUGAUUUGAGGCUGUCUGGUUGUAGUGACCCCGCAAAGGAGGUUGCGCCCCGGACGCAAAUGAAGAAGACAGAGUGGUUCCAUUCUACCCGUCUUGAAACACGGGACCAAGGA
rnacentral:rRNA from 1 species